GCUGGAGGACUAAGAAGGCUGAGUCUGAUGAAGCAAGACUGCUGAUACAAUCCUCCUUUUAAAAAAAAAAAAAAAAAAAAGGGUUGGAGAGAGCAGCCUAUACUGGAGAAUAUCAUAGGGCUGACUGCACUACUCAACAUUC